rnacentral:rRNA from 1 species
UACCAGCUCUCCGAGUGGUAGGGAUGUUUAUUGGGCUUAAAGCGUCCGUAGCCGGCUUAGCAAGUCUCCUGUUAAAUUCAGCGACCUAAUCGUUGAGCCGCGGGAGAUACUACUAGGCUAGGAGGCGGGAGAGGUCAACGGUACUUCCGGGGUAGGGGUGAAAUCCUAUAAUCCCGGGAGGACCACCAGUGGCGAAGGCUGUUGACUAGAACGCGCUCGACGGUGAGGGACGAAAGCUGGGGGAGCGAACCGGAUUAGAUACCCGGGUAGUCCCAGCUGUAAACGAUGCGAGCUAGGUGUUGGGGUGGCUACGUGCCAUUUCAGUGCCGCAGGGAAGCCAUUAAGCUCGCCGCCGUGGGGAGUACGGCCGCAAGGCUGAAACUUAAAGGAAUUGGCGGGGAGCACCACAAGGCGUGAAGCUUGCGGUUC